AUUGAACGCUGGCGGCAGGCCUAACACAUGCAAGUCGAACGAGUGGCGGACUGGUUCGUAAUGUCUGGGAAACUGCCUGCUGGGGGGGGAUAACUGCUGGAACCGGUCGCUAAUACCGCAUACCAUCAGAUGUGCCCCGAUGGGAUUAGCUAGUUGGUGGGGUAACGGCUCACCAAGGGGACGAUCCCUAGCUGGUCUGAGAGGAUGACCGGCCACACUGGAACUGAGACACGGGCCAGAAGCCUACGGAGGGCAGCAGUGGGGAAUAUGGUAGAAUGGGCGGAAGCCUGAUGCAGCCAUGCCGCGUGUAUGAAGAAGGCCUGCGGGGUGGAAAGUACUUUCAGCGGGGAGGCGUUACACGCAGAAGAAGCACCGGCUAACUCCGUGCCAGCAGCCGCGGUAAUUC
rnacentral:rRNA from 1 species